CUGCGUGGAAGGGCCAUCGCUCAACGGAUAAAAGCUACCCUGGGGAUAACAGGCUUAUCUCCCCCAAGAGUCCACAUCGACGGGGAGGUUUGGCACCUCGAUGUCGGCUCAUCCCAUCCUGGGGCUGGAGUAGGUCCCAAGGGUUGGGCUGUUCGCCCAUUAAAGUGGUACGCGAGCUGGGUUCAGAACGUCGUGAGACAGUUCGGUCCCUAUCCGUCGCAGGCGUAGGAAAUUUGAGAAG
rnacentral:rRNA from 1 species